rnacentral:rRNA from 1 species
GACGAACGCUGGCGGCGUGCCUAAUACAUGCAAGUCGAGCGGACUUAAAAAGCUUGCUUUUUAAGUUAGCGGCGGACGGGUGAGUAACACGUGGGCAACCUGCCUGUAAGACUGGGAUAACUUCGGGAAACCGGAGCUAAUACCGGAUAAUCCUUUCCUACUCAUGUAGGAAAGCUGAAAGACGGUUUACGCUGUCACUUACAGAUGGGCCCGCGGCGCAUUAGCUAGUUGGUGAGGUAACGGCUCACCAAGGCGACGAUGCGUAGCCGACCUGAGAGGGGGAUCGGCAACACUGGGACUGAGACACGGCCCAGACGCCUACGGGAGGCAGCAGUAGGGAAUCUUCCGCAAUGGACGAAAGUCUGACGGAGCAACGCCGCGUGAGUGAUGAAGGUUUUCGGAUCGUAAAACUCUGUUGUUAGGGAAGAACAAGUACGAGAGUAACUGCUCGUACCUUGACGGUACCUAACCAGAAAGCCACGGCUAACUACGUGCCAGCCGCCGCCGUAA